CUGUCUAUAUGUUUGAUGUGUACAACACUCAUAGCCAGAGUAGCUGAGACAUCCGUUCCCCCGACAAGAAACUCUGAUUCUUGCAAAAUGGAUUUGCAAGUAUCAAGUACGACCUCUUUCUAUGAUGAUUAUGGUGGGGCAACACUCUGCCAAAAAACAAACGUGAAACAAGUUGCAGCCCAGCUCCUGCCCCCACUCUACUCUCUGGUAUUCAUCUUUGGUUUUGUGGGGAACAUGUUGGUCUUCCUCAUCCUGAUAAACUUCAAGAAGCUGAAGAGCAUGACUGACAUCUACCUGUUCAACCUGGCCGUCUCUGACCUGCUCUUCCUGCUCACUCUCCCAUUCUGGGCUCACUAUGCUGCAAAUGAGUGGGUCUUUGGGAAUAUAAUGUGUAAAUUACUCACAGGACUCUAUCACAUUGGUUAUUUUGGUGGAAUCUUCUUCAUUAUCCUCCUGACAAUUGAUCGAUACUUGGCUAUUGUCCAUGCUGUGUUUGCUCUGAAAGCCAGGACAGUCACCUUUGGGGUGAUUACAAGUGGAGUCACUUGGGUGGUGGCUGUGUUUACUUCACUCCCAGAAAUAAUCUUCAUCAAAUCUCAAAAAGAAGGUCGUCAUUCUACGUGUAGUCCUCAUUUCCCACAUAGCCACUAUCAUUUCUGGAAGAGUUUCCAAACAUUAAAGAUGGUCAUCUUGAGUCUGAUCCUGCCCCUACUUGUCAUGGUCAUCUGCUACUCAGGAAUCCUCCAAACCCUGUUUCACUGUAGAAAUGAGAAGAAGAGGCACAGGGCUGUGAGGCUCAUCUUUGCCAUUAUGAUUAUCUACUUUAUUUUCUGGACUCCCUACAACAUUGUCCUUCUUCUGUACAACUUCCAGGAAUUCUUUGGACUGAAUAAUUGCGGUAGUUCUAAUAGACUAGACCAGGCCAUGCAGGUGACAGAGACUCUUGGAAUGACACACUGCUGCAUCAACCCUGUCAUCUAUGCCUUUGUUGGAGAGAAGUUCCGGAAUUAUCUCUCAGUGCUCUUUCAAAAACACAUUGUUAAACGUUUUUGCAAGCACUGCCCAAUCUUCCAGCAAGACAAUCUUGAUCGUAUAAAUUCAGUCUAUACCCGAUCCACAGGGGAGCAGGAUGUUUCUACUGGUUUAUGACCUGGGCUGAGUUUUGUAUAUCACUUAGUUUUGUAUGUAGCUUGGGAGUAGAAAUGGUUUUUUUUUUUUUUUAAAAAAGGAAGUUAAUAUUGUAGAGGGCCUAAGAUGCAUGCAUGUUUGGAUAUUUAUUUUAGCUAGAUGGAGUCUUUUAAAGCCUAUUGGUUUUAGAAAGCCAAAUGAGAAUGUAUCAGUGAGAUAGUGAUCCCUGGCCUCAUUUCCACUCACCUCCAGUUAUGGCAAACUCUUUUAGCCACAAAAAUUCACUAUAAAAAAUCCCAAAAAUUGGGAGAUUUUUAAGCUUGACUAUCUGAGCAGAAAUAACAUCCAUCAGGAAGAAUACCUUAUUCAAUCUUUUUCCCUAUACAAGGCAAAAUUCAGGCUAUAAGUGUACUUAAAAUAGAUCUUUGUCUUGCCCUGAGAAGAAAAGAUGAGAGUGUGAUUAGGUAGAAAAUGAAUAGCUGAGCUCUAUGAAUUAGUUCCAUAGACUUGUAUGACCGGGUAAAUGCUCUGUGGCCUGGGAGGGGUGGGAACAAAUCUUUUUAUAAGAAGGGAUUUGAACUGGAUCAUAUGUUAGUAAAUGAGAGGGAGGGAAGUCAUUCUUUGGGCGGCAAGACUACACUAGCAAAACAAAGGCAGACCUGUGGCUAUUUGGAAAGGCCAUGGAGAGAGAGUCAAGGCUGGAUAACAACGCACUAUGUCAGUUUUGCUCCUUCAAAGUUGUAGCAGAAUGGAAGCACAUGGACAGGUUUGUACAAAGCUUAUUUCAUGGCUUUGGUGAGCAUUCAGGGAAAGCAGAUCAGCAGCAAUAAGUUCAGAGUGAGAUUAGGCCACCUUGGCUAGACAGUGGGGAAGCAUCGCUUUGGCAUAUAAGACCUAGAGUCAGCAGAAUUUUGGGUAAAUUGGAGGUAGAGGUAAACGAGAACCUCUAGACUCAAGUAGUUUGGAAUAACCAUAGAAUAAACAACAAAUACAAGAAUACGGUAAAGAGCUUGGCCUAUGAGAGUAGUCUCGUUUUAAAGCCUGUAGCCUCAGAUGGUAUUUUGUACCUGCCCUUCAGACUCAAAUUUUGCCAUACCAGCUUUGAAUCUUAGGGUGAACCAGGGAGCUUAUGAAUCAUGAGCCUAAAGUCUUGUAAUAAUACAGAUUCCUUGUGGAUUCAGCUAAGGGUUGCUUAUAUAAUUUGAACCCAGAGCUUUACAACUUUAAGCAGAGGCCCUAAGAUAUGAGGGAAGAGCAUCAAUUUUCUCUAUUUACCUAGCAAUCAGCAAAUCUGAGAGAAACAAUUUGCUGUGAGCUUCAGAAGUCAAGAAAGUGUAAUUACCACCUUCUGUGUUCCAGGCUAAGAGUGAAGGCUUCGGUUUCGCUUUACAGAUGGCUUCUCCACACAAACAUUGCUAAAUUUAUCCAUUGCAGAGAGGUUUGGGAUUUUUUGUUGUUUUUGCAGUUGUUAUUUAUGAUAUUGUUUUGAAUUUUGGAGCAGUUAAAAUCUUCACAGUGAAGAUUAAGGGGAGAAACAAAAGGAUGAGAAUCAUUCAAAGGAUUAAAGUGUCUGGCUAACAAAAGGUACUACUUGUUUUUCUCAAACUCUGAGUGUGAAACCAGAGGCUUGUGGGUGUCAGCAGGAAGUGAGUAUUUGCUUUUUUCUUUCCUGAGAUCCACAUUUUCUCCUCCAAUUUGUAGCUGAGACUAGACUCAAAUUUAUGCUCCUCCUUCCUACAUCUCAAGCACUGAGAUUACAGAUGUAUAUGAACACACCCAGCUCUGUAUUUUUAUAUUCUUAAGCAUAUAGAAAGUUGUAAAUUCUUUGACGAUAAUAUGAGAUGUAUAAAAAAUGCGUUUUAAAAAAUAAUUUCAUUUUUGUUCUUUCAAUCACGUGAACAUUUAGUGAACAGUACACAAAAUUAUGAGAGUAUUUUAUAAGUAGUUAUUUUGGAGAACAUCCCCAAAUAGUACUUAUUUAAAUAUAGUCCUUAUCUUAAAUGGAUGAUGAUGGUGAUUAUAUUUCCUUUAAAAUAUUUUUAACAGUCAACUUUCUUCCUAAGACAAAUUGUUAUGAUAAUUAUUUUUAAACGUGUUACUUCUGCUGGGUGGUGGUGGCAUACAUCUUUAAUCCCAGCACUUGGGAGGCAGAGGCAGGCAGAUCUCUGUGAGUUCAAGGCCAGCCUGGUCUACAAGAAUAGUUCCAGAACAGGUUCCAAAGCAACACAAGAAACCCUGUCUCAAAAAAACCAAAAAAAAAAAAAAAAAGUUGUUACUUCUAAGCAUGUAGUUCCUGAGCAGAGUUGCAUGAGAGAUUGUAAAUUUCAAAUUGUGCUUACUCUCAACCAAAAGAGUUUUAAUAUAUUUACAAAUAGAUGUCAGAAGUCAAGAAUUUGAUUGAAAACAAAGACAUGCAACUUUGUAGUCUGUUACCUAAGGGGAGGCACAUGGUAGGGAGGAUGAGCAUUGCUUUUCCUUUAUUUAAAAUUCUUUUCCAGAGUAUGUUAGUAAUUUCAGUAGCGGCAACUACGUAACACUGGAACUUCUGUCCACAUGUUUCUUGGACAGAGAGAGGAGAGAUGCUUCAAGGAGAGUUUGGAACAUGCUGGUUUUCAGUCUGCUACAGCCUCAGUUUCCAAAGCAGGGUGUGUGAAGAUGUCAGAGUUGGUCAUGCUCCUGAAAGAAGUGUGGACAGAGGCAUAUCCAGAGAAGCUCGGGGUAGAUGACACAUAGUUCUUUCUCACUGCUUCUGAAGAACAGAAAGAGCAUCAGUGUAGGACACAAGUAACACUUUGCAUGAAAUAAAUGUUUGAGGUGGAUCUGCAGAAUGCUGAAGCCCAGACCUAAAAUAAGGUCAGGAAAUUAUUUCCACCUAGGCAUUUUUCACAUAUGUGAAACGCCCCAAACUCCGCCUUCAUUUCCCUCUAACCUGCACAUUCCAAGGGUUUGAAAUGAUCAAAUAUAGUUGAGAUGCAGGUGGUUUCCUUUGAUUUUUGUCUUCUGUUUUCUCCAUUACUGUUAUCACUCCUCUUGGAUGCAACUCUCUUACAAAACUAUAUACCUUGAAAAUGGAAAAGCCAUUGAGGACCACUCAGUGCAGGUGCUUCUCUCCAUAAGUGAAGAACAGAGUCAACACCAAGUCCUAGAGAGGGCUUCAGAGGACCUAGUAUCAGCAUGCAAUGAUAGUGUUUCCUAGUCUCAGAGGGCACUCAGUGGUAAGUCAUUGAGCGGGGUAGUAGAAUGGGUUCUGCUACCACUUUUAAUAAUGCUUGUAUAAAUUCAGGAGCUUUACCUACAACUCAUGGAGGCUAUAUUCUGUAGCUAAUGUGGGUUGUAAAUUUUAUUUAAUUUUAAUGUUACCAGGGUUAUUAUAUUGAACAUUUCUAGUCUAGUUGCAUAUAAAUAAGUAUCAGCAUGACUUAGAUUUUGGCAUCAGGUAUUGAGUUACUAUGCAAAAUUUACCAUUUUAAGCCUCAGCUUUAUUCUCUAUAAUUGAAUAUAAUAAUGUCUGCAUCAUAGCUUUGAUUAAAGAAUAAAUAGGAUAUUGCAUGGUAAGACCGUAGAAUAGUGUCACCUAGCUCACAGAUAUUCCUGUAGAUAUUUGUUAUUAUAAAAAAUUUGUUAAGCAUAUCUAGUUCUUCUUUAGCUUGAAGAAUUCUUACAAUACUCUUACCCAUGUCCAGAAAUUCAAAUCAAAUUCUGCCAUGAGACAGAAGUUCCCGAAAACUGAAUUCUAUAUGUGUGCUCCUUGCCUGUGAAAUCAAUACCAUUUUGUAUUAACCAAUCAAUACCACACUACAGUAAUCAGUGUAAUGUGCCUGGAAAAUUUGUCAUUGUGUUCCAUAUAUUUCAUAUAUUGCUCUUUCUGAAACAUUUUUUUUUGAGCUAGCAGGACAUCAGUAAUUUUAGUCAGAUAUACGUAGGAGGAGGACCCACUUGUUUGUCCUGGCUGCCCAGCUAGCUAAGCCCCAAAAUAGCCACACAGAAACUGUAUUAAUUAAAAUACUGCUUGGCCCAUUAGCUCUAUCUUUUUAUUGGCUAACUCCUACAUCUUUAUUUAACCCAUUUAUAUCAAUCUGUAUGUCACCACGAGGUCGUGGCCUACCAGAAAAGUUUCAGCACAUCUACUUCCAGCCGCAGAUUUAUGGCAUCUCUCUUGACUCUGCUUUAUUUCUCCCAGCAUUCAGUUCUGUUUUCCCCUGCCUAAGUUCUGCCCUAUCAAAAAGCCAAGGCAGUUUCUUUCUUCAUUAACCAAUGAAAGCAACACAUAAACAGAAGGACCUUCUACACUAGAUAUAGAUUCUUUAACUCAGGGAAAACUGGGAAAGCAGGUAUAGUUUUUACCUCCACUAUGGAUUUCAAUAUAUUACAAACCAGGAGAAGUACAUGAAAAUUAACUUAUCAAGAACUAAGAGAGCAAUACACAGUGAAAAACCCUGGCAAGAACACAUGGGAAUGUGUUUACUUAGGACCUCUUCCUUCAUCUACAUCUAGAGCCUCACUCUCAGAUAUUCCUGUAAGAAGAGGAUUUAAUUAGCCAACCCUAAGCCUGCCCUUCCCCCAUGGAAGAUAAGGAGUAUCAUGGCUAGGAUAGGGAAGAACAUUGCUUUCUUCAGUCUUCCUUCAAGAGGAUAUCUAACAAAAUUCCUGAGCAAAACAACUUGAGGGAGAGAAGAUUUAGCUAUUUCAGCAUGGCAGAAAGAUAAUGGUAAAGCAGAAUAGCUAACACCAAGGUGGCCAGGAAAUACAGAAAAAAAAAAUGACUGCUUUGAUUGGUUUUCUUUUUUUCCCCUUUUAUUUCCUCUUGGCUCCUGUUGUAGAAUAUUACUUUAACUAUGUAAGGAUGUGUUGCUUUGCCUAUCUAACACAGCUGAAUGGUCUAAUUAAAAGCUGAAUAUCCAAUAGAUAGGCAGUAGAGGGAUAGGUAGAGCUGGCAGGUAGACAGAAUAAGUAGGAGGAGGAAUCUAGGCUCAAAAGAAAAGAAAGGAUGAGGGGGAAAAGGGGGAGAUGCCCUGGGCCAGUCAACCAGGCAGCUGCCAGACAGACAGACAUGGAAGAAGCAGGAAAAUUAGGACAUACCAAUGAAAGAAAGGUUAAAAAAAAGUCCCAGGGCAAAAUGUAAAUGAAGAGAAACAGGUUGUGUAGUUGGAGGCUGUCCAUUCAUUCCCGGCUUCCCAGACUCAAAAUAAUCACACAGAAACUAUAUUAUUUGCAAUACUAUUUGGUCAAGAGCUUAAGCGUAUUGCUAGCUAGCUCUUAUAUCCUAAACUAACCCAUUUCCAUUAAGCUGUUCAUCACCAUGAGGUCGUGGUCUAACAGCAAAGUUUCAUCAAGCUCUGGUGGAGGCAUCUGUCUCUGGUGGCAGCCACAUGGCUUCUCCAGACUCUGCCCUCUUUCUCCCAGCUUUCAGCUUAGUUUUCCUGCCUAGCUUUACUCUGUUAAUCCAUUGGCCAAAAGCAGCUUCUUUAUUAACCAAUGGCAAUAAAACAUUCACAGCAUGCAGAGAGGAAUCACAAAAUAAGGUUAAAAUAAGUUAUAAGAGCUCGUGAGACAAGGCCGAUCAUUCAUAACUAAUAAGUCCCUAUUUGGGAGCUGGUUGGUAGCCCAAAGAUAGCCUACUAUAGGCUAUUAUCCUGUAGGAUGGUGCUAACCACUUUUAGGAUAAAUCUUCCCCCUUUGGAUGACUCCUUCACAGACUUACCUAGAGGAGGGUUUUAGUAUGUUCUUCUAGGCACUUCUCAAGCUAAUCAAAUUGACAGACAAGAUUAGUCACAGUACACCACCAUAAAAACUUAUUAAACCAGAGAAUUUAUAGAAACAUGGUUGAAAAACCUGUUAGUGUUUUCAGCAAACUGUAGCCUCAUGAAAGAGGACUCUCCAACAAGAAGAGAUUUGUAUAGGCCUCUGGCUGAUUUCUGCAGCUGACUCUUGGCUCAUAGAAUGUCCUGGAUUCUUUACUUGACCAUAGGAGACUCAGACUUUCUCCAGACAUCCCUAUUUUAAUCUACACACGUAUAACUCUGCCAUAUCCAUUGCCUUUCUUUAUGAAUCCCACCAGGACCCAGAAUUCCCCUCUUCUCAGCUUCCUCGGUGGCAUCAGUGGAUCAGAUGUGCAUAUUAACUGGCAAGGUGUCCUUAAUAAAAGUAUAUCUCUAGAAAAACAAAUGGAUUUCCCAUGGGAAUUGUGUAUAAACAUGGAAUCAACCUCAGAAUGCUAGGUGGACUCUUUAAGAAUGAAAAGUAUGGGGUGUUGGGAGCACAAAGUUCCUUGUGCCCUCAGAUCACCAGGAAAACCAGGAAUGUUAAGCACACAGCAUUGUCCUCUCAGAAGUAUAUAUAACUUGUUUUCCCAUCCAGAAGAUUGGGAAUUGGAAGUGAUUACUAGCCUGGUGAUCUUUAUCUGUAGGGUCAAGCCAUAUCAAGCUCCCACAACCAGGACCAGAAGUGUCUAAUAUACCAAAUAACCUAUACACACUAGCUGUAUAGGUUCCUUCCUUAGGCUCUUAAGCUAGUACAUGCAUACUAUCUCUAGAACCUAUCUUCUUGGAAGAAAUGGCAUGUAAUUUAAGUUUCUAUGUAAUUACAUAUUCUUGUGCACUGGUGAUUUAUCAUACCAGGAAACUUUCCCCAAAUUGUAUUGUGUUUAAAUCUACUGCCAACAAACCACCUGACAUCAGACCCCUGAAGUUUGAUCCAGCUGGACUAAGUCAAGUUGAACCCGGUUUUCAUUCUCACCUCUUUGCAGAUCAUGUUUCUAACUUUUUUUUUUCUUUUUGGUUUUUCGAGACAGGGUUUCUCUGUGGUUUUGGAGCCUGUCCUGGAACUAUCUCUUGUAGACCAGGUUGGUCUCGAACUCACAGAGAUCUGCCUGACUCUGCCUCCCAAGUGCUGGGAUUAAAGGCAUGCGCCACCACCGCCCGGCUUGCAGAUCAUAUUUCUGUUGACUGUGACAACUGCAGGGACCCCCCAACAAGGGGGAAGUGAAAAAAUAGUGGAACUAGAAUCCAUUUCAGAGCUGUUCGUCCACAAGAGCAGAGUAUCUCAUGCAGGAAACAUAGAAAGAACAGCUGCUUUGGUUGGUUUUCUUUUUCCUCAUUUUUAUCCCUUCUGGGAUCCUAACUUGAAGAAAGGCAUGCCACGCUUUCAGGACAAAUCUUCCCCUCAAUACUAAAGAGAGUAAGGAAGACUCUAAAGAUUACAGGAAUAACACUGCAGGUAACAGCCAUUGCUGGUAGGUUGACCCCAAAGUAAGAAUGAAGAUAGAAGACAGAGAAGAUGGAUUAUUCAUAAAGCAUAUAAGGUGAAGAAUACUAAGCCAGAAUGAGUGCCAGUUUUGAACCUUUCAUUGGUGAUGGCUUGUGGAGACUGUGGUGAAGUCAAGCUGAAGACAGAGAUGUGGCUACUGCCGUUUCAAGAAUAGAACAGGCUCUGCAGUCUGCAGCAGAUGACACUAUGCAUUCUUUUUCUUCUCCUCCUUCUCCUUCUCCUUCUGCUUCUCCUUCUCCUUGAGAUAGGGUUUCUAUGUGUUGCUUUGGGGACUGUCCUGGAACUAGCUCUUGUAGACCAGGCUAGCCUUGAACUAACAGAGAUCCACCUGCCUCUUCCUCCCAAGUGCUGAGAUUAAAGGUGUGUGUCACCACUGCCUGGCUGGCACUAUGCAUUCUUAACAAGUCAACAGGACCUUCAGAUUUCUGCAUCUGCACCCUGAACAAGUCCAAUCCCCAGGCAAGACUAGUUUAUCUCACUUAUUAACACAGCUCUACAAUUCAGCUCCUCUGCUGCAUGUUAUAGAACUAGUUAAUAUGAAAUUGUCACAUAAUGAUUAAACAUUGCUCCUUCACAACAAUGUCGUUAGGGAAAAGUAAGCUCCAGAGAAAUUAUUUUCUCAAACUUUUUACUCAGUUGUGUGACUUAAGCAAGCUGCAUACUCUUGCACCAACCACUAAUCUUUUCUUCCCUUCCACCCCCUAUUUCUACAUAUGAUGUGGGAUUCCCCUCUGUAUGCUGUGAAUACCAUUGGUUAAUGAAGGAACUGUCUUAGGCCUGUUAUGGGGUAGAGUAGAGCUAGGCUGGGAAAACUAAACUGAAUGCUGGAAGAAAGGAGGUGGAGUCAGAGAGAAGCCAUGUUGCCCUACCAGAGAAAGACACUGGUCAGAGUCUUGCCAGUAAGCCACAGCCACAUAGUGAUACACAGAUUACUAGAAAAGGGUGAAAUUAAGAUGUAAGAGUUAGCCAAUAAGAAGUUAGAUCUAAUGGGUCAAGCAGUGAUUUAAUUAAUAUAGUUUCUGUGUGGUUAUUUAGGUUCUGGGUGGCCGGGAUGAACAAGUGGCCUCCUUACAACACUCAUAGUCAAGGGUGGCCUCACACUCCUGAUUCUCCUGCCUCAGCUUUUCCAGUGCUGGAAUUGGAAACAUUCGUCACCAUGCCUGGCUCAAAUUCUCAAUUCUGAAAAUAAUGAACUAUUUAAGAUAUACUUAGAAAUUACUUGUUUAGCUAGUUUAUUGCUAGAUCAGGAUGGUAACUGAAAAAAAAAACAUUUCAAACUGUUCACAGAGAAAUCACAAGCUUUGUUUAUAGUGUUACUUUGGGUUUUUUGUUUUUGUUUUUUUUUCUGGUCAACAAAGAAGUUUGUGAUGGCUCAACGGGUAAAGGAAUUUUCAGCUUAUGCUGUCAGCCUAAUGACUUGAGUCCCACCCCCAGGACCUACAGUGGAAGGAGAGCUCACUCCUGAGGGUUGAUUCACCUACCUGCACAUACAUGCUGUGUCUACACCCAUACACCAAACUUCUGCCACAUACACACAAUAACCACUCUAGAAGAUCAGCUCAAGGCCACCCUCAGCUACAGGAAGAAUUUUGAGAACAGUUUGGGUUAUAAGGGAUUGCAUUGCAAAACCAAGAAGCACAACUAAACCAAACAAACAUCCCCCCAAAACCAUUAAGUACAUCUAUUAUGACCUUGUGUAUCUCAUCUUUCUUUUUAAAAAAUGAAUAAAAAUGUUUAUUACAUUCUUUAUAGUACUACAAAAUUGUACUAUACUAGUUGUUGGAGACAAGGUUUAAAAAAAGGACUAACAUAUCCUCAUUACCCAAAUACAGCAACUGUGAAGCAUGAAAAACAAAGAAUAUAACAGGCAUUGUCUCAGAUUGGCUCUGAAUGGAGACAUUAAUGGCUCUAAACAUGAUGAGGGAAGAUGGAUGAACUUGGACUUAGGGAGAGGUUUGCGUUGGGAUUUUCAGUGUAGCGUGGGUACUUCUGGAAAACAGCUGUUCAUUCUAAUGUCUACCCCAGGUACAGUGACUGCUAAAUUCUCACCACAGGUUUAGGAGUCAAGCUUGACCCUAACCCAGUGAAACAAAAAACACUGGCUUCAGAAUGUGAAAGGACAGCUUCAGUUUUUAAGUUAGAAACCACGGGGAAAAUCUAGGCAGUAGAAGAAGCUGGGUAUGGGAUAUUGGCAGGGUACUAAAAGUAACUGAAUAGAGAGGUCCACCCGGGGUCAUGAACAACGGAUGCCCCAAGGUUGAACAAAAUGCCUCAGACAGAACUUGGAGUAAUGGAAGCAGCUAAAGAGCAAGAAAAUUUGCUAGGAAAGGCAAAAGUACUUCUGUGCUAGAAAUACAAAGUAGCGCAGGGAAGAGGACCCUGAAAGGAAGAGAAAGUGAAGAGUCAGCAGUGACAAAUGCUGCAAAGACUGUCUGUCACAAGACGUGGGUAGAAAACAGAACAUCUACAGCCUUGUGAUUGUGUCAGCAUGGCAGAGCACUCAACUCCUGUCUGCUUCUUCCUCGGUGAUCUGUUGAAAAGAGAUGCAAAGGAACUUUGCAUCUUUGCCUCAGAAAAGCACUACCCUCCCCGCCCCUCCCCCCACUUAGUCUCUUUAGAAAGUAUGAGACUAAUCUACAUAACAGUCACAUAUAUGUAGAGGGCCUAGGUUGGUCCCAUACAGGCUCCCUUGUUGUUUGUUCAGACUCUGUGAGUUCCUUUAAGGCAGGUUAGUUGUUUCUGUGAGGUUUUUUUGUGAUGUUCUUGAUGCCUCUGGCUCCUGCAAUACUUUCUGCUUCUCUUGUCAGGUUUCCCCUGACAAACUUGGCAUAGUACUUGACUGUGGGUCUGCAGGUGUUUCCAUCAGUUACUGGAUGAAGGCAUUCUGAUGACAGAGAGGUUGUCUGGGGUAGUCAUCAAUCUGGUCACAGGAGAUGGCCAGUUCAUGCUAGGUAUUCACUAUUGUUAGGAGUCUUAACUGGGGUUAUCCUUGUAGAUUCUUGGGAGUUUCCCUUGCAGCAGGUUUUUAUCUGACCCAGAAAUGCUCCCCCUUCCAAUCAUCUCUUUCAGUACUCUCCCCCUCUAUCCAGUCUCCAACCCAGUCCCUCACGUUUCCAUCCCCACUUGGUCUUCUUGUGUGACUCCUAACAAUGGGAGCAGGGGCUGUCCCUUGUUAUACCCAGAUCAUGGAGUCCCCCAAAAGUCAACUAGGAGAUGGAGUCCUGUAAGUAAAAGCAAAGAGUCUUUAUUCUUAUACAAGUUUGCAAACUCGGACUCUGUGUGUCCAACGUAUUGGAGUGAUCAGAGCUCAGUAAGGGUUGGGUAUUUAUAGUAGUAAAGUUAGGGAUGAGAGAUUUCUAAGUCUAUUAAACCAGAAGCAAACUCUAUUCCAGGAAAAAAAUUUAAAAAAUCAAUCUCCAUGGAGCAUGAAAAGCUUAUCAGCUAGCUGAGACCACAGCCAUAGAUGAACUUAUAAGGCUGUGACAAUGGGGGCUAUUUCUGAACUUCCCUUUUUAUAGCA